rnacentral:rRNA from 1 species
UGGGGAAUAUUGCACAAUGGAGGGAACUCUGAUGCAGCAACGCCGCGUGAAGGAAGAAGGCUUUCGGGUCGUAAACUUCUAUCGACAGGGAAGAAGAAAGUGACGGUACCUGAGUAAGAAGCCCCGGCUAACUACGUGCCAGCAGCCGCGGUAAUACGUAGGGGGCAAGCGUUAUCCGGAAUUACUGGGUGUAAAGGGUGAGUAGGCGGUUAAAUAAGCCAUAUGUGAAAUUUUAAGGCUCAACUUUAAGACCGCAUAAGGAACUGUUUGACUAGAGUGCAGGAGAGGUAAGUGGAAUUCCUAGUGUAGCGGUGAAAUGCGUAGAUAUUAGGAGGAACACCAGUGGCGAAGGCGACUUACUGGACUGAAACUGACGCUGAGUCACGAAAGCGUGGGGAGC